ACAUCCUGGAAGAGAGCAGACCACAAAGCUUCUUCGGCACUCUCCGUCGUCCUGCAAACCCGUGUUGCCUUUUCCCCCAAAAAAGAACUUGACGCUGUCCUCCUGCUGCCGCACCGCUGCCCUGCCGCAACUCGCACUGCCGUCGCAGCUGCCUCAAUGCACUCCUCCCUCUCUUCAUCCGCUCCUAUCAGAUCCAAGAGCAACCCCGUACCUCCGACACUCCACUGCUUCUCUCCGCCCCUACGCGCCUCCGCCUCUCGAUUUGCUCCCAUCUGAGGGCUGGCAAGCCCAUAGUCGUGUCAAUAGCCGGCGCCAUAUCGAAGCUGCUAGCCUCUCUGUCCGAGGCCGACGACCCCAUCUUGGCCGGCGCCGAAUCAUCGAUCUGUGGCUGGGUUGUCAUGCCUUGACCGAGCGGUGUCGAUCUGUGCACAGGCAGCUUGGAUCCAUGGUUGGAUAGUGUCAACAAUGACCGGGCGCCACCUCACCCCUCCUCUAAGCUGCUACGCUCCCAACAUAUGCCAAGCUUCCCAGUUCGGGCCCUUUGUUGGGCCUCUGAGAGAAGGAUCUGGCCACCAAUGCAGCCAUUAUUAAAACUACAAUCAGAUUAGCAGAGACAUGCACUUCACAUGCAGAUCUCAGGUUUGCUAAUACGUAAACAAGGUACUCAAGAUUACCUCAGUUUGAAGGCUACACAGGUGUCUAGUUGCAGGCUACUCUCCAACAUGUAUGCUUCCCUGCUCUCCCUAGUUACAGUUUCAGUGUCGUUGUCAAGGUUCAGAUCAGUGUCUUGGCUGUGUGAUACUUCUGUGGGUGUUGAAUUUUUCUGUGUGUUUUUCUCAGUACACACAGAACAAUUAGCAAUAAUAGUGUGAGUUUCAAAAAUACCGCCAGAAAAAUCCAAUUACUCACAGAAAAAUAGAGUACUUUUUCUGUGCGUGUGAAUACACACAGAAAAUUUAAUAUUAUUCUGUCGGUUUUUGCUAACCUCACAGAAAAAACUAUAUGCACGCACAGAAAAAUUAUAAUUAUUCUGUCGGGUUGUUUCUUACACACAGAUUAAAUUUACUAACUCACGGAAAAAAUUAAGUCCCGCGCAUAGAUUUUCCUUUCCCGCUCUGCUUUUGGCAUUGGCGCCUAGCUUUUGGUAUUGGCGCGGUGUCGAAUAGAUAAGAUGGUAAAAAAAUUAAAAAAAAAAAAUAAAACCCCCUAAACCUAUCCUCCACAUGCGGCAACCUUAUCCUCUCCUGGCGUGACUCCCUCCCAUCCGCUCACCAAAAUCACGUCGCGCUCAGGUCCGCCGCCAGCUCCCUCCGUGAUUCCGCCCCUGCUCCAGGCUGGUCCGCCGCCCACAGCUCUAAGCCGGUCCGCCGCCCGCAGCUCCAGGCCAGACCGCAGUGCACAGCUGGCCGCAGCUCCAUGGACGCCGCCCGCUGCCCCUAGAUCUACCUGCUGCCGGUGGCCAUAGCCCCUCCAGUUCUCGGCCCCAAGCCAGCGGUUGGCCCUCUAGUUGUGGACCUAGCGCAUGCACAGCCAACCACGAGCAUCCCCUAUCCCGCCGCCCUGGUCUCCCUCCCAUCCGUUGCAUGUCCUUGCAUGACGCCUUCGUCGCCCCAUCAAUCUCCACCACCCGUUUCUUCAGUCAAAAAGUCUGCUUCCGGUGUUGUCUCCUUCAAAUCUGAAAAGAUUUUUCAGUGGAGAUUUGGAGAUUUUUAACUAAGGACUAAAGGUUUCUAUUGGAGGCGGUGUGUACUUUAAAGAUAGUGAAGAAUUGUUGAGGACCUGUGACUGAGACUCAAGAACUAGAAAAAUGUAGAAAAAUGUUUGAAGAAAAGGAUGAAGGACAUGAUGUACCAAGUCCGUGUGGAUGUUGUUAAGGAGUACUACAGGGAAAUAAAACACAGAGAAAUCAAGGAUGCAAUAGCGUGCCAUAUUGACCUCGAGUAUGAGCAGUACAAGCAAGCAAAGCUCAAGUGGUUGAAUGAUGAGGUGUGGUUGCUCCUUUGUGCUUAUUGGUGCUCAGAUGUGUACAAGGUAAAACGUAAGAGAGGGCAAGCAUCUCGCUCAAGUAGUGAAGAUAUUGCUCAAAACCGAGGAGGGUCUAGACCAUUCAGAGACACAAGUAUUGGAAGCUAAAUUUGGACCAGAGAAAGGAACCCCUAUUAAUGUAUUUGCUGCGAUGAAAUCUGGCAGGAAAAGUUUGGAUAGCAAUGGUAGAUGUGGUCCAAUCAUUAGCCGCAAAGCCCAACAACGCAUGGACGACUAUCUUGUUGCUGUUAAGAGGAUAGAAUGUGCAAACGAAGAGGAUAGAGAUGGUGUAGACAUGGAAGUGGAUGGGCAUGAGGUCGAGCAAGAGCAAUAUUUGAAUGGGAAGGCACUAUAUGAUGUGUCUAGUGGUGGCCUGAGAAAGCAUGGGCGUCUUGCCAUAGCAAAUGGUGCUGUUAAAUCUUCAGAUGUUAGGGCAGCCGGAAGGGAAAGAAGUGUGUUCCCAUCAAAUUCAAUGACUAUGCAAAACAUGUCUCGCGAAAUGGAACAGCUACGUCGUGCAAAUGGAAGGCUAGAACAAGAGAAUCAUGAAAAGGACAACGCACUACAGCAAAACAAAGUUCUUGUAGACUUGGUAUUGAAACUUUGUGAGGACACAUGAAGGGUAGUACCAGAAGAAGCGUUACGACGCUUGUCCGCUACGCAAGCAAUUGCAACCGGUUCUUCUCAUGCUGUCUCAGAAUCUGCCAACAAUGCCAAUGAUUUUGGGCACACCAAUGAAGACCUUCAUGCUACAAUUGUUGCCAACAAUCAAGGUUCCGACAACAAUGGAGAUGAUGCAUCGAUUUGAUGGUGCUGUUUAGUUGCAAAACAUGGAUGUGAUGGUGGUUUCUUCUUUUGUAGUGUUGUGCUUUUGCACAUUAACUAGUAGGAGGCUCUAAUCUUUAGCUGUGGUAAUGCUUUUGAAUGUAACUAGUAGCGCUCUAAUCUUUAGUUGUGGUCUUACUUAUAUGACUCAAUGAUGCGCUGGUAGUUUAGUCAUCUUGGUUGAAACUUGAACCGCUGAGAUGAGAUGGUAAUGCUUUUGAAUGUAUCGACGUCAGAACAUUUGGACAUCGUCUAUGGAAUGUGUUGAAUAUUUGGAGACCAUAUUGUGAUGUAUCCUAUAUGUAUUGAUGUCAGAACAUUUGUGAUGUGUCAUGAAAUUAUAGUGUGGAAAAUAUAUAUGCUAUUGCUACAGUUUCAAAA